rnacentral:ncRNA from 1 species
UAAAAGAGUUACGGUUCCGGGCUUCUGUCCGGAUUAAAAGGGAAUCCGGUGUGAGUCCGGAACAACCGCCAUUACUGUAAUUGACAAGAGGAAAAGGGAAUACCAUUGGUUUUUCCGAGAAGGUCCUUUUCCGCAGCGUAAGCUUCGUCAUAAGUCAGGAUAUCUGCCGUAACGUUA